GGGGGAAUUGAUUUAGCCUUUGGAUUUGUGUUUAAUGUACACGUGCAGAUCCAUUUUGGAGGCUGCAAGGUGGUCUGAGCAGAGGAGGCACAAGGCCGCAGUCAGGUCAAGGCAGCGCUUCAAAUCAAACACAAUGGGAUAUCCUUCAUCAAAUAUGGAAGAGACUUCAAUGGGGUGAGAAAAUAGCUGGCUGGAAGGAGAACCAUUAUGGGAUAGGAUGUAUACAGUUAUUAAGCUGGAGAAUAAAUCCUUCAGUAAGAGAAGGAUACAAAGUGCUGCUGCUGCUCUGGCCUGGUUCUUAAUGACCC